GGGGCUGUGGCUCAACGGGAGAGCGUCUGCUUGGCAUACGGAAGGUCCCAGGUUCCAUCCCUGGCAUCUCCA
rnacentral:tRNA from 1 species